GUGUCAGCCGCCGCGGUAAGACGAGGGGUGCAAGCGUUAUUCGGAAUUAUUGGGCGUAAAGGGUGUGUAGACGGCAUGUUAAGUCCGUUGUUAAAUUUCCCGGCUUAACCGGGAAUCAGCGAUGGAUACUGGCAUACUAGAGGGUGGAAGAGAGAAGUGGAAUUCUCGGAGUAGCGGUAAAAUGCGUAGAUCUCGAGAGGAACACCAAUGGCGAAGGCAGCUUCUUAGUCCAUUUCUGACGUUGAGACACGAAAGCGUGGGGAGCAAACAGGAUUAGAAACCCCAGUAGUCC
rnacentral:rRNA from 1 species